ACUUCUUCUAAUACGUAAAAUAGAAGGUGAAAAGUUCAUUCAUUCAAAACUACAACUUUUUACAUAGGUGAUCAAGUGUUUUAUCGUAAUAGAGAUCCUAACAGAAAGACAGUUACUUGAAAGAAAAUGGUUAAAUAAUUUGUUAGGAAAUGGGAUUAAAUAUGGUAAAAGUUAUUUCCCAGCCUUGGCAUCCAGCAGGGAGCCUCACUGGUGCCUGGAUAAGCAGAGAAAAGCCUUGUACACAGACCUUGAUAUCUCCCCAGUAAAGUCAUAUUUGUAGUGAAGGACAUUGAUAGAGAUUCUCAAAAAAAGUGUGCUGGGGAAGAAUAGGGGGGGAGGUUAGGGGAGGUAGACAGAAAACACAGCACAGCCUUUCAGAACAAGAAGUCCUCUCCCAGAUUUACAUUUUCCAAACCAUUGACGUAUGUGAAAGAAAACAGGCGAUAAAUUUUCAUUCUCAGCGUACAUUUAAAGCCAACACUUCAAUUAUUACUAUCAGUCCUGUAGUCCACUGCACUCCCAUUUUUACCUCCCCCAACUUAUGAAUGAUACUUUCCAAGUUUUCAGCAGUUUUACAAAGCAGUACUUUUUUGUGCACCCAAUCUGCAGGUGCAGCAAAGACCUUGGCAAGGGGCAAACUGAUUAUCACUUGUGAAAACAGUUACACCGUAUUGUUCAUACUUCUUCAAGGUCUUGAGCAAAGCAUAAAUUCACAUGAAAAUGAAGUUAUUGCAGUUCAAGCAUCAGACAGCUAACCAGGUAAGUCUUACUGUUGCUUGCAGAAAUGAUUUUACAAUAUUUUGCAAUUUAUUAAUGUUUUUUUUCUCUCAUGCAUUUUUUGGGUAAUUCUAAUAGGUAUUUUUGCAACUUUUAAAUCACAAACCCUUAAGGAUUGUGCUGUAAUUCUGAUUUCUUAAAGCAAAGACACUGUAUUGUUACUGACUUGUAAUUCAUCUUCAGAUCACUUAUACGGAGAUGACUUCAUUUUUUCUUUCUGACAGCUCUGUGUUUUUUUGUAUAUAUUUCAAAAUAGGAAAUUACACUGAUGAAUUUUUACAAUGCAAAACAGUUUAAGUCCCUGCUUAAUCAUAGGCAUUUAUGUUGGUUGUUUCAUGCUUUAACUUCUUUUCUUCCAGACUGAACUAGUUUUUAACAGUCUUAUAAUAUUGAGUUGAAAGAAAAAGCAUUGUGCAAAAUAUAUAUAUAUAUAUAUUACUUUUUAAUCUAUACAUUUAUAUUGCAGGUUUACUCUUUAUACUCUUGACACAAGCAGAGUUGAUCUUGAUUCAGCUCGUUGUUCCUUUUUCCUAUGCAUAUACUUCUUUGAGAAUUGGAUCUAAAGAAGCAUAAGGCAUGGGAAAAUGGGGCGACUGAGGUACUUCACCAUUCAUUCCAAACAGCAUUGUCAAGACGACUACAGAAAUGUAUAGAGAACACAGACAUAUGAAGAACUGAAAGGUGUCUUUGAAGAGGAACUGUAGAAAUUAUUUAGUCCCCCUCCCCCCCAUUAACAUUAAACAUUUUUUUAUAUUUCUGUCCAGCUACUUUUGUUUAGCCUAAAUAGAAAUUAAUCAUAUCAGCUCUGGGAAAAAUAUUGUUAUGAAACAAUGUAACUGUACAUAUCACAUAUCAAAUAAAAAUCUAAUAUUUCAGACACAGAUCAAAAGUUUGUGUUAUCCUACAUCCCAAAGUAUAUCAAGGUUUGUAAAACUAUAUGCUUUGAAAAAGCAACACUGGGUGCAUUACAAGCCAUAUUUCUCGGUUGUUAUUAUUAUUCCAUACUAUUCCAGCCUAAAUUGCUAUUUUAACAAGCUACUGUUUCAUUUCAUUUCAUUGUCUCUAACACUACUAUCAGAGCACAAUUCUAUUUACAUGUCACUUUUUCUUGCUUAAAUUAAAAGACAAUAAAAAGAGCAUACACAA